rnacentral:rRNA from 1 species
AUGCAAGUCGAGCGAGAAAGCCCUUCGGGGUAAGUACAGCGGCGGACUGGUGAGGAACACGUGAGAAUCUACCAUUCAGUGAAGAAUACCCCUGAGAAAUUAGGGUUAAUGCUGCAUACGUCCCUUCAGGGAGAAAGAUGGCCUCUUUGCUGUCGCUGAUUGAUGAGCUUGCGUACUAUUAGCUUGUUGGUGGGGUAAAGGCUCACCAAGGCUUUGAUGGUUAACCGGCCUGAGAGGGUGUUCGGUCACAUUGGAACUGAGGUACGGUCCAGACUCCUACGGGAGGCAGCAGUGAGGAAUAUUGCGCAAUGGGCGAAAGCCUGACGCAGCGACGCCGCGUGGAGGAUGAAGGCUUUCGGGUCGUAAACUUCUGUUAAGUGGGAAAAAAGCCUCGCUUCUAAUACAAGCGAGGGAUGAUGGUACCACUAGAGAAAGCACCGGCUAAUCUCGUGCCAGCAGCCGCGGUAAUACGAGAGGUGCAAGCGUUAUUCGGAAUUAUUGGGUGUAAAGGGCGUGUAGGCGGCGCGUUAAGUUUGCUGUUAAAUCCUUCGGCUUAACUGAAGGUUCGCGGUAAAAACUGGCGUGCUAGAGGAUGGAAGAGAGAAGUGGAAUUCUCGGAGUAGCGGUAAAAUGCGUAGAUCUCGAGAGGAACACCGAUGGCGAAGGCAGCUUCUUGGUCCAUAUCUGACGCUGAGGCGCGAAAGCGUGGGGAGCAAACAGGAUUAGAUACCCUGGGUAGUCCACGCCGUAAACGAUAAUCACUAGACG